UUCGUUUGAAAGAUUUUAAUAUCUCAUAAAGUGGAUCGUCCUUUUAUGCUUGAAGAAGCACACAAGGUCUGAAAAUGGAGGGCAAAGGCAAUGAAUUUGAGAAGAAACCAAUUCGUGAGAGGAAUCUAUAAUACAGUGAACUUUUGCCUUAUGGCAUACGAAACGAUGCAGAAAUUCAAUUUUCUCAGUCUGGGCAGUGAAAACGACGAGACCCAAGACUUGAUAAACUAAAGGAGGGGCGUGCGGCAGUUAAUUUCUCAGAUCUGUCGGAUCCUCUCAUGGUGGAUUCUGGAUUCAAUUCAAGUUGCAGAGAAUCGUAGGGCCAUGGAAAACGAUUCUCGCUUUUUUUAUAGAGCCUGCUUCAGAAUCUAAACUAAUCUUGCAGUGAAUUAGUUUUCAUUUUUUUUGUAGUGCUCGGAAGGUGUUCGACGAAAUGACCGACAGAGUUUGGUUGAUUUAUCUGUGCGGGCAGGCGAUUUUUGUAUGUGAAUUCAUCAGGUAGUGCAGUAGUUAUAGGGUGGAUGAUCAGAUUUUUAACAGAUUCCUUGUGCUCGGAAGGUGUUCGACGAAAUUACUGAAUGAAUUUUGUAGAUUAAGGUGGACCUGCGUGGGCAGCACUGAGUGGAGUCUACAGACUAGGCAUGGAAAAUGAAGAGAUUUGGCGUGUACGUCACUUUCCUCUCAGUAAGAAUAAGGGAUAUGAAUGAACAGGUAGACACCCAGUGAGGUUUGAUGGAAGCCUAAUGAAAAAGAUUCACAACAGGAAAGCAGAGGAUUCUGAAGAUGAACAGACAGCAACAACAACAACAACAUUCAAGGUAAUAUAAUCUGAAUUCAGACACUCUGAUACAAGUAAAUUGUUCAUGAUUAUACUAUUAAAUUGGAAAACAAAAGUAUAAUGAAGAGAAAAAUAACAUGGAAAAAGAAGAAGAAAA